CCGAGCGUUAUCCGGAAUCAUUGGGUUUAAAGGGUCCGUAGGCGGGCCUGUAAGUCAGGGGUGAAAGUUUGUGGCUCAACCAUAAAAUUGCCUUUGAUACUGCAGGUCUUGAGUCAUGGUGGGGUUGCCGGAACAUGUGGUGUAGCGGUGAAAUGCAUAGAUAUCACAUAGAACACCGAUCGCGAAGGCAGGUGACCAACCAUGUACUGACGCUGAUGGACGAAAGCGUGGGUAGCGAACGGGAUUAGAUACCCCGGUAGUCCACGCCGUAAACGAUGGAUACUAGCUGUGGGGACUUCGGUCUCCGUGGCCAAGCGAAAGUGAUAAGUAUCCCACCUGGGGAGUACGUUCGCAAGAAUGAAACUCAAAGGAAUUGACGGGGGCCCGCACAAGCGGUGGAGCAUGUGGUUUAAUUCGAUGAUACGCGAGGAACCUUACCAGGGCUUAAAUGCAGGCUGCAUGGGGUAGAGAUACCCCUUUCUUCGGACCGCCUGCAAGGUGCUGCAUGGUUGUCGUCAGCUCGUGCCGUGAGGUGUCAGGUUAAGUCCUAUAACGAGCGCAACCCCUACCGUUAGUUGCCAGCAUGUCAAGAUGGGGACUCUAACGGGACUGCCGGUGCAAACCGUGAGGAAGGUGGGGACGACGUCAAAUCAUCACGGCCCUUACGUCCUGGGCUACACACGUGCUACAAUGGCCGGUACAGAGGGAAGCCACCCCGCAAGGGGGCGCGGAUCUACAAAACCGGUCACAGUUCGGAUCGGGGUCUGCAACUCGACCCCGUGAAGCUGGAAUCGCUAGUAAUCGGAUAUCAGCCAUGAUCCGGUGAAUACGUUCCCGGGCCUUGUACACACCGCCCGUCAAGCCAUGGAAGCC
rnacentral:rRNA from 1 species